rnacentral:rRNA from 1 species
GACGAACGCUGGCGGCGUGCUUAACACAUGCAAGUCGAACGAAGUGGCGAACGGGUGAGUAACGCGUAAUCAACCUGCCCUUCAGAGGGGGACAACAGUUGGAAACGACUGCUAAUACCGCAUACGGAAGGAGGAGAUUGCGUCUGAUUAGCUAGUGGGAGGGGUAAGGGCCCACCAAGGCGAUGAUCAGUAUGCUGUCUGGGAGGAUGAACGGCCACAGUGGGACUUGGACACGGCCCAGACUCCUACGGGAGGCAGCAGGGGGGAAUUGUCCGCAAUGGACGAAAGUCGUACGGAGCAACGCCGCGUGAGUGAUGACGGCCUUCGGGUUGUAAAGCUCUGUUAAUCGGGACGCGGUACCGGAAUAGAAAGCCACGGCUAACUACGUGCCAGCAGCCGCGGUAAUAC